rnacentral:rRNA from 1 species
UCCGCAUCGUAGUGACCUGCGGAGGAUCAUUACCGAGUGAGGGCCCUCUGGGUCCAACCUCCCACCCGUGUUUAUUUUACCUUGUUGCUUCGGCGGGCCCGCCUUAACUGGCCGCCGGGGGGCUUACGCCCCCGGGCCCGCGCCCGCCGAAGACACCCUCGAACUCUGUCUGAAGAUUGAAGUCUGAGUGAAAAUAUAAAUUAUUUAAAACUUUCAACAACGGAUCUCUUGGUUCCGGCAUCGAUGAAGAACGCAGCGAAAUGCGAUACGUAAUGUGAAUUGCAAAUUCAGUGAAUCAUCGAGUCUUUGAACGCACAUUGCGCCCCCUGGUAUUCCGGGGGGCAUGCCUGUCCGAGCGUCAUUGCUGCCCUCAAGCCCGGCUUGUGUGUUGGGCCCCGUCCCCCGAUCUCCGGGGGACGGGCCCGAAAGGCAGCGGCGGCACCGCGUCCGGUCCUCGAGCGUAUGGGGCUUUGUCACCCGCUCUGUAGGCCCGGCCGGCGCUUGCCGAUCAACCCAAAUUUUUAUCCAGGUUGACCUCGGAUCAGGUAGGGAUACCCGCUGAACUUAUUAUAUCAAUAAACGGAAAGUGAGGACACUAAGGGUCCGACCUCCCAACAGUGAUUAUGUUACCUUGUUGCUUCGGCGGGCCCGCCUUAACUGGCCGCCGGGGGGCUUACGCCCCCGGGCCCGCGCCCGCCGAAGACACCCUCGAACUCUGUCUGAAGAUUGAAGUCUGAGUGAAAAUAUAAAUUAUUUAAAACUUUCAACAACGGAUCUCUUGGUUCCGGCAUCGAUGAAGAACGCAGCGAAAUGCGAUACGUAAUGUGAAUUGCAAAUUCAGUGAAUCAUCGAGUCUUUGAACGCACAUUGCGCCCCCUGGUAUUCCGGGGGGCAUGCCUGUCCGAGCGUCAUUGCUGCCCUCAAGCCCGGCUUGUGUGUUGGGCCCCGUCCCCCGAUCUCCGGGGGACGGGCCCGAAAGGCAGCGGCGGCACCGCGUCCGGUCCUCGAGCGUAUGGGGCUUUGUCACCCGCUCUGUAGGCCCGGCCGGCGCUUGCCGAUCAACCCAAAUUUUUAUCCAGGUUGA